rnacentral:ncRNA from 1 species
AGACAAAGAGUAGCGCUUUAAUCUCUCUGUGGGGUUGGCGUUCAACUCAAUCGCGCGGUAACGCAAGCGAACUCGGAAAAUGACCGUCGUGAGUUUCGAAAAGAGUUUUCUUUUCUUUUUAAGGGACGCAUUCCCUGGAACCGGGUUGUCCGGAGAUAGGGAUUCUGGUAUCCAUAAAACGCCGACUUUUUCACGGUGUUCGGAGCGCUCUCGUCGGUACGUGAAAAUCCGAGCGACGCCUGGUAAAUCUCGUACUUGGUCGUACUGAUAUCCGCAGCAGGUCUCCAAGGUGAAUAGCCUCUGGCCGAUAGAAUAAUGAAGGUAAGGGAAGUCGGCAAAACGGAUCCGUAACUUCGGAACAAGAUUGG